rnacentral:rRNA from 1 species
CCUACGGGGGGCAGCAGUGAGGAAUAUUGGUCAAUGGACGAGAGUCUGAACCAGCCAAGUAGCGUGAAGGAUGACUGCCCUAUGGGUUGUAAACUUCUUUUAUAUGGGAAUAAAAUGUUCCACGUGUGGGAUUUUGUAUGUACCAUAUGAAUAAGGAUCGGCUAACUCCGUGCCAGCAGCCGCGGUAAUACGGAGGAUCCGAGCGUUAUCCGGAUUUAUUGGGUUUAAAGGGAGCGUAGGUGGAUUGUUAAGGCAGUUGUGAAAGUUUGCGGCUCAACCGGAAAAUUGCAGUUGAAACUGGCAGUCUUGAGUACAGUAGAGGUGGGCGGAAUGCGUGGUGUAGCGGUGAAAUGCUUAGAUAUCACGAAGAACUCCGAUUGCGAAGGCAGUUCACUGGACUGCAACUGACACUGAGGCUCGAAAGUGUGGGUAUCAAACAGGAUUAGAUACCCCUGUAGUC